rnacentral:rRNA from 1 species
CCUACGGGAGGCAGCAGUGGGGAAUAUUGCACAAUGGGGGAAACCCUGAUGCAGCGACGCCGCGUGAGUGAAGAAGUAAUUCGUUAUGUAAAGCUCUAUCAGCAGGGAAGAAAAUGACGGUACCUGAGUAAGAAGCCCCGGCUAACUACGUGCCAGCAGCCGCGGUAAUACGUAGGGGGCAAGCGUUAUCCGGAUUUACUGGGUGGAAAGGGAGCGUAGACGGCAGUGCACGUCUGGAGUGAAAGGCGGGGGCUCAACCCCCGGACUGCUCUGGAAACUGUACGGCUGGAGUGCAGGAGAGGUAAGUGGAAUGCCUAGUGUAGCGGUGAAAUGCGUAGAUAGUAGGAGGAACACCAGUGGCGAAGGCGGCUUACGGGACUGUAACUGACGUUGAGGCUCGAAAGCGUGGGGAGCAAACAGGAGUAGAUACCCCAGUAGUC